rnacentral:rRNA from 1 species
UACGUAGGGUGCAAGCGUUGUCCGGAAUUAUUGGGCGUAAAGAGCUCGUAGGCGGUCUGUCGCGUCGGAUGUGAAAACCCAGGGCUCAACCCUGGGCCUGCAUUCGAUACGGGCAGACUAGAGUUCGGUAGGGGAGACUGGAAUUCCUGGUGUAGCGGUGAAAUGCGCAGAUAUCAGGAGGAACACCGGUGGCGAAGGCGGGUCUCUGGGCCGAAACUGACGCUGAGGAGCGAAAGCGUGGGGGAGCGAACAGG